rnacentral:rRNA from 1 species
UAAUAUAAGUGGCUUAAUUUAUUAAAAGUAAGCUUAUUAUGAAAAUAAUCAUAAAAAACUAACACAAGACGCGAAACGAAGUGAGCUUAAGUAGACCAGGGGGAAGGUUGCCGGAAGGUAGUUGGACGCCCGAAGUGGUAUGCGUUGCAACGCAUUCAUAUGAGUUUAUUUAAGUGGCGAAAUACCAAUCGAACUUCGAAAUAUCUCGUUUUUUGCGAAACCUUUUUAGGAAGGGGGCCUGCAAAAUAAAUGCUAACUAGGUAGAGCGCUGUAAAACUGAUGGGAGGGAAACUUUUACUGAGGUGUUGCAAACCACAAAUUAGGAGCAUUUUGCCAGGUACUCAGUCAGUGCGGGACAAGCUGCAUUUGACAAGAAGGAAACAGCCUAGACUAUUAAUUAAGGCCCGCAAAUAGCGCUAAGUGAGAAAGUAAUUAACUUCACAAAAAUUAGUAGGACGUUUGAUUAGCAGCAUCUACCGUUUAAAGAAAGCGUAAUAGCUCACUACUAUAGUUUAGUUGUUGCGAAAAUUUAGCCGGACUAAGCGCUAUGCCGAAAUUAUAGCUAACUGGAAACAAUACAAUCAGUUAGAGUAGCAAAACGAACCAUGUUGACAAAAUUAUGUCGGUAAGACUUAAUGAAAAUAUUGGUUGUGAAUAUAUCAGCUAGAGUAACAUAUAAAUUGAGAUUAUUACUUAAGGCAGCUUUGUAUUAAUGAGUACGAGUGUUAUAAAAGCAUUUUUUUAAUAAUAAAUUAUACUAUUUAUUACUUGAAUUAAUGCAAAGUUGUAUUAAUUCAGAACAGUAUCUCAAUGAUCGGAAAUCCUGGGUUUUCUACACAACUAUUAAAGAUGUAGUUAAAAAUACGGUCCCUAAGUAUCAUAAAGGCUACGAUGGGUACUUGCUGUGUCCAACAAAACCUUAUUCAUAGGUCUGUUGCAGGAAACAGUAGCAAGGAAUUACGUUACGCGUAGCAUAAUAUUUGUCUUAUCUUAUUUUACGCGUAUUAUAAGCACCGUACUAAAACUGACUCUGGUGGAUUGGUAGAUUUUACUAAGAUUUGGUUAUAAUCGCUCGUAAGGAACUCGGCAAAUUGCGCUGGUACUUUCGAAAACAGCGGUCUAAAAGUGGUGUUUUAGAUCUCAGAUAAGAGAACUGGGUGACAGUUUACUAAAAAGUGCGACAAGAAGCAUAUUAUUGCAAUUCGGAAACCCGACCACUAGUCGGAUAGUGUGAACCUACUUGCACCUGCGUCUAGGGUAACUUGGGGGUGGGAAGCUGCAAGGACAAUGUAACUAACUAUCUUGUGCUGAAGAUAGAAGUGCUAGGUUGAUUCUAUAUGAUUAAGCGAAAGCUAACUCAGGUAUAGGCCUCGUGAAGACUGUCACUGUAAACAGCAAAAGCUAGUACAAAGUACGGCGAAUCAGUGUUGGGCUUAGAUAGGGGCUCCUUUUUAUGGCACCUAUAUCCGACCACAUAAGCCUCGGGGUAGACUGAGAAUCUAAGUAGAAUGUAAACGUGUAAUAAUGUGAACUUGGUAAGUCCCAUAUGCACUGCUAUGCAGAGGUUUGGUAGCAAUGCUGAAUAUCGCAUAGGGGAUAAAAGAACGGCUCAAAAAGCGAAUGUCUCCCUGUAAUGGGGAGGAUAAUCUCGAAUGGGGUGCACGAAAGUGAGCAGACUUGAGUCAUUGGUAAAUGUGUGACUAACUUGGUCAUAACGCUGGGUUCCCAGUUAAAAAGCAUGAAUUAAAUUAAUGAUGAAAAAAUUUAAAGAUGAAAAAUACGCGAACACAAUGGAAUAUGAUCGAUUGGAGAAAAUGCGAGCACGAUCUCGCAAUACAACAAAACAAGCUAGUCAUUGCCGCAAAGAGAGGCGACCUUGAUAAAAUAAAAGAAAUACAGAAUCAAAUGGUAAGGAUGUUCUCUUUAAGAGCACUUGCAGUCCGGAAAGUCACUAACAAUAAAGGUAAAAGGACUGCCGGGGUUGAUGGAAAGAGAUGGAUGAGAUCCUCUCAGAAAAUUGAAGCUGUUACACAGCUGAAAGACUUGUCAACAUACAAACCUCAACCUGUUAAACGGGUAUGGCUUCCAAAACCCGGCAAGAACGAAAAACGACCCUUGGGCAUUCCAACGCUAUAUGAUAGAGCUGUUCAGGCACUUUUCUUAUAUGCCUUGGAGCCCAUCACGGAAACAUGGGCAGAUAAACGAAGUUUUGGAUUUAGAAAAAGUAGGUCAACGCAUGAUGCUGCUGAAUAUAUCCGACUUAUGUGUGCGAGUAAAUAUGGCAAGAGAUACGUCCUUGAAGUGGAUAUUAGGAAAUUUUUCGAUACUAUAAAUCACAAUUGGUUAAUAGACAACACACCUAUGAACAAACAAAUGCUUAGAAAACUUCUCAAAGCUGGGGUUUUAGAGUACAACCGACUGGAACCUGGUGAAGCUGGUGUACCACAAGGUGGGGUACUAAGCCCAACCUUGGCAAACCUAACUCUAGACGGACUGGAAAAAGAACUAGCUGUCAAAACUGGGACUUUCUUAGUUAGAUAUGCUGAUGACUUCGUCAUCACUGGCAAGAGUGUUGAGCAAUUGAAAAGUGCAAAGGAAACCGUUGUUGACUUCCUUAAACCAAGAGGAUUAAAAGUAAACUUGGAAAAAACGAAAAUAUCCAGAAUCGAAGAAGGGUUCGACUUCCUAGGAUUUCAUUUUCGAGAGUACCCAGAUGAAACUAGAGCAAAAGGAAAAAAGAAAGGCAUAUUUCUAGUUAAACCUACCAAAGGCAAUAUACAAAAAAUAUGUCGUAAAAUCUCUGAAAUUGUGAAAAAGUACCCGAGUGCAGAAGCCGGGACCCUCACUAAACAUCUUAACCCUGUCAUUAGGGGAUGGGCUGAAUACUAUCGAACUGUUAGUAGCAGAGACGCGUUCAGGAAAGUAAGUAACCAUACGUUCCGAAGCCUACAAAGAUGGGUAUAUAGAAAGCACGGCCGAAGCAAAAGAAGGGAAAAUUUAGCAAGGUACUUCAAAACAGUUGCUACCAACAAAACACUCAACAACUGGGUGUUUAGCGGCGUCAAUGAGAGAAAACAACCUAUUACUCUCUUUCAAAUUGGUAAUACCAAUUUUAAGAAACACACCAUGAUUAAUCUUGAAAAAUUCAAGAAUCCGUUUUUAAAUGAUGACGCGGGCUAUUUUAUCAAACGAUCAAAAAGUCUGGUUCUGAACAGUGUCAUCUUUGACAAAAGAAAGAAACAAGUCAUCAUAAAUCAGCAGGGAAAAUGCGUUCGAUGCAAUAUGCCAUUUGAGCACGAAGACAUAAUAGAGCUCCAUCAUACUAAACCUUUCAAGGAAGGUGGCAGUAGUAAACUGAAAAAUAUGCAAGCCUUGCAUGUCGAGUGCCACAGACAAGUAACUUUUGAGCAAGGCGCUGAAAAGAGCGGCGGGCGAGCAACAAAAUAAUGCUAGCCACAUUAUCAAAGCCGUAUGAAGGGAAACUUUCACGUACGGUUUGAACGGGGGGAAAACUGGGCGACCGGUCUACCUAUCCGACUCUUAGCGUCCUGCCAAUUUGAAACAAGACGUAUAGGAUGUGACGUUUGCUAACGGCCACUAAUUUAAGUAAUCUGUUGUAAAAGAUAGAUCAACAAGAUGUGGUGACGAGCGGCCGUAACUAUAACGGUCAUAAAGUAGCGAAAUUCCUAGGCAUUUAAUUGGUGUCCUGCAUGAAUAACGUAACAACCUGGUUGCUGUCUCGCGAGCGAAAACCGUGAAAUAAGAAUAUCGGUUAAAAUACCGAUUAGGCUGUCUUAGACGAUAAGACCCUGUGAAGCUUUACUGUAACCUAACAUUGCGAUCGGUUUUUUAUCUUACAGUUAGGCGGGAGG